GGUAACUACGUGGAGGGAGCGGCGGUAAUUGGUUGGGGGCGAGCGGUGGCCGGAUUUAUUGGGCGUAAAGCGAGCGCAGGCGGUUUCUUAAGUCUGAUGUGAAAGCCCACGGCUCAACCGUGGAAGGUCAUUGGAAACUGGGGAACUUGAGUGCAGAAGAGGAGAGUGGAAUUCCAUGUGUAGCGGUGAAAUGCGUAGAUAUAUGGAGGAACACCAGUGGCGAAGGCGACUCUCUGGUCUGUAACUGACGCUGAGGCUCGAAAGCGUGGGGAGCAAACAGGAUUAGAUACCCGAGUAGUC
rnacentral:rRNA from 1 species